AUUGAACGCUGGCGGCAGGCCUAACACAUGCAAGUCGAGCGAGCGGCGGACGGGUGAGUAAUGUAUGGGGACUGCCCGAUAGAGGGGGAUAACUACUGGAAACGGUGGCUAAUACCGCAUACUAUCGGAUAACCCAUAUGGGAUUAGCUAGUAGGUGGGGUAAAGGCUCACCAGGGCCACGAUCCCUAGCUGGGCUGAGAGGAUGAUCAGCCACACUGGGACUGAGCCACGGUCCAGACUCCUACGGAGGCAGCAGUAGGGAAUAUUGCACAAUGGGCGAAAGCCUGACGCAGCCAUGCCGCGUGUAUGAAGAAGGCCUUAGGGUUGUAAAGUACUGUCAGCGGGGAGGCGUUACCCGCAGAAGAAGCACCGGCUAACUCCGUGCCAGCAGCCGCGGUAAUUC
rnacentral:rRNA from 1 species